GCCAAUGCUACACUUCCUUAGCUAGGAGCUAGCAAUGCUACGUGGAAUUGCAUGUCGGUAUCUUCUGAGAGGUUGUUCUCUCUCCACUUCUCAUUCAAGUCUGAAGAUGCUUACAGUCACCUGCAGUACUUCUAAAUCAGAGUUUUGAGAUGGAAGAGGUCACAGCUCCAAUGAUCUCAGCCGAAGAAGAUGAGGAAGAAGACCAGCACAAGUGAGUCUCUCUCAAAUCAGCUUUUGCUGGUAUCAGGAUUUCUCUGGAGGACUCAACAAAGUCCUCUCCAUGCCUGAGAUUCCUACAAUGAUUGAAAUUCCAUUGUUUCUUCCCCGUGGGUAUGUAUUUCUGCCUUUGGACGGACAACUUCAGUCCAGCUUUCACAUGUCCCUCAGAACCACUCUGUGCAGAUUGUGACCUGAUGCUUCUAACACACUGUCCUUCACCAGUCCCUAUGCCCUCAACCCCUACACUCUAUCAUACACAUCUUACUGGACAAAAUGCCUACUUGUGUCAUUCACUUCUUGCUGGACAUGCUGAGGUUUUGGAUAACCUGUCCAUCUUUCAGUCUCAGCUGUUCCAAAGGUGCAGGCUCUCACACUCUCCAGUGCUUCAGCCCCUUCACGUUUCACAUAUAUUUCACCUGAGUGAUUAUUUUAGAUUCUGACAGUGUGGAUUCAUCACGGUGUUUCAUUUGGUUGGUUUUAUAUCGCAUUUCUGUUUUUACCAAGAAAACUCAUUUUUUCCUCUAAAACUCAUCUUAAUGUUGCUUCCCAGUAAAGACUUCUCUG
rnacentral:lncRNA from 1 species